rnacentral:rRNA from 1 species
AGUGAACGCCGGCGGUAGGCCUAACACAUGCAAGUCGAACGGCAGCACAGUAAGAGCUUGCUCUUACGGGUGGCGAGUGGCGGACGGGUGAGGAAUACAUCGGAAUCUACUUUUUCGUGGGGGAUAACGUAGGGAAACUUACGCUAAUACCGCAUACGACCUACGGGUGAAAGCAGGGGAUCUUCGGACCUUGCGCGAUUGAAUGAGCCGAUGUCGGAUUAGCUAGUUGGCGGGGUAAAGGCCCACCAAGGCGACGAUCCGUAGCUGGUCUGAGAGGAUGGUCAGCCACACUGGAACUGAGACACGGUCCAGACUCCUACGGGAGGCAGCAGUGGGGAAUAUUGGACAAUGGGCGCAAGCCUGAUCCAGCCAUACCGCGUGGGUGAAGAAGGCCUUCGGGUUGUAAAGCCCUUUUGUUGGGAAAGAAAAGCAGCAGGUUAAUACCCCGCUGUUCUGACGGUACCCAAAGAAUAAGCACCGGCUAACUUCGUG